AUUGAACGCUGGCGGAAUGCUUUACACAUGCAAGUCGAGCGGCAGCGCGGGGCAACCUGGCGGCGAGCGGCGAACGGGUGAGUAAUGUAUCGGAACGUGUCCUGUCGUGGGGGAUAGCCCGGUGACAACCGGCUUAAUACCGCAUACGAUCGAGAGAUGAACGUGGGGGACCGCAAGGCCUCACGCGAUAGGAGCGGCCGAUAUCUGAUUAGCUAGUUGGUGGGGUAAAGGCCCACCAAGGCUUCGAUCAGUAGCUGGUCUGAGAGGAUGAUCAGCCACACUGGGACUGAGACACGGCCCAGACUCCUACGGGAGGCAGCAGUGGGGAAUUUUGGACAAUGGGGGCAACCCUGAUCCAGCCAUUCCGCGGGAGUGAAGAAGGCCUUCGGGUUGUAAAGCUCUUUUGUCCGGGAAGAAACGGUUUUGGCUAAUAACCAAGACUACUGACGGUACCGGAAGAAUAAGGACCGGCUAACUACGUGCCAGCCGCCGCCGUAA
rnacentral:rRNA from 1 species